rnacentral:lncRNA from 1 species
GAGAAACAAGAACUUCAGAGAAAAGAAAAUAAUUUUGCCAAAUUAUUUCAAUGCUUUGGAAAGUGAAUUUGAACUAGACUGCAGCUACACACCUUCUUCUACAUGCCGUACAGUCUGGUUUCCUUUUCCAAGGACCCGUGCUGUGCUUUUGUCCAUGGCUCACCUUGUGUGGUGACGUCGAGACUUCUGAAGAUAUGGAAGACCAGUGCAUCUUACUGGACACAGAUGGAAAAAUAUCCCAACCCCAGCUCCACAAUGAAGCCAAAGUUUCCGCCCGUGACCCCUGCAGCAGCUGAUAGUUUUCUGUACAUGCAAGCAUAG